ensembl:lncRNA
UUUUUUUAUCUCAGUUUCUCUGGGCCAGGAGUUAGGACAGGGCUCACUGGGUCCUGUGUUUCAGGGUCUCUUGCGGAGCUGCAGCCAAGGUGUUGGCCAGAGCUGGGCUCUGAUGUGAAGGCUUGACGGGAAGACUCUGCCUCUGAGAUCACAUGCUUUUUGGCAACAUUUGAUUCCUCUGGGCUUUUGGGACUGAGGGUCUUUGUUCCAAGCUGGCUGCUGGCCAGAGUUGCCCUCAGCCACUUGCUCUAAGCAUGCAAGCUGGGAAGUCAAGCCAGAGAGUAUAUCAGGCUUUUGAAGUCACCAUCUUUUGUAAUCUAAUUAUGGGACUGAUUGGCCACCCUCUGGCCAUGUUUUACUGAUUAGAAACAAGUCACAGGUUGUACCCAGACUCAAAGGUAUUCAUGGGUGCCCUGUGCCUGGGUACGAAUCCAAGAGGCAAGGAUCAUCUUAGGGUCAGCCCAUCCCAGAGAGCAACUUAGAGAAGACAAGCCUAAGCAAGAUGGUCCGAGACCAAAGAGUGGUAUGGCGCCCCCUGGUGGGAGGAUGACCAACGAUCCUGUUUUCUUCUAGACUCUCCACAGCAAUGAAAGUACAUCCUGGGAAACCCUUAAUCCUAGGGAAGCCAGAACUGUUGGUCACUCUACUUCCUACAAUGUAAGAUGAUUUUAAGUAGUCUCCAUUUCACCGAGAAAGUCUUCGUUUGGUGCUACUGUGUCUUAUCACUUCCCUAGACUGUCAAUCAGCCUUUUAUCAAAGAGAUUGAUAACUUCAGGCUCACGCCUUCUGCCCACCACAUUAUCUCCCUACAAUUGAAUGUCGUUUCAAUUUUGUCCUAUUUAUUUACUUGGUCACCUUCUAUUUACGGCAUGUGAUACUGGUUCCUCAUUGAUGGUGGUAGUACAAAAUCAUCAUCUCAAAAAUGCAUCUCCACAAGAAAUAAAUCUAUUUGAGGAAAAAUAACAAAACAGUAAUAUUUGUGGCUUAUGACUAUUGCACAAAUCAAGAAGGCUUUAUACUCUCUUCUCCAAACUCUCCAUUAUUGCCUCUCUGACCGCAUGUUGUACCACCUUCCAGAACCUUCAUUCAUCCACACCAGUCACACUGGCCUCAUUGCCUUUCCCGCAACACAUAAGGCACAUGCCCACCUUAGGGCUUUUUCACUCACUGUUUCCUUUGCCUGUAACACUUUUUCCAGUUAUUUGCAUGAAUCACCUUCUCAAGUCUUUCCUCAAAUGUCACCUUCUCAUAAUACUUUCCCUGGCCAUCCUGCAUAACAUUAUAAAUCCUUCUCCAGACACUCCCAAGACUCCUUCUCUACUUUAUUUGCUUUUUUUCCCCAACAUCACUUAAUACCAUCUAAACACUACCAGAUUUUUGUUUUUUCUUUCUUGGCUGCCCUGAGGCAUAUGGAGUUCCAGGGCCAGGGAUCAGAUUCCAGCCUACCCCACAGGUGCAGCAACUUGGAUCCUUAUCCCACUGUGGCAGGCCGGGGAUCGAACCUGUGUCCCAGUGCUCUAGAAAAACCUCCAAUCCUGUUGUGCCACAGUGGGAGCUCCACACUAUCACAGUUUUUAGCUUUUCUCUUCAUUGUCC